UGCAGAACCACCAGUACCACCUCCUUCAUCCCAAUUUCUUCCCCUUAAUCGUACCCAUCAUCUCUGCACACAGCCACCUUAAUUAACAUCAAUUGAAUCUCUAAUAUCUAUCUCUCUCACCCUUAUCUUCUUUCUUAUCAAGAAUAGUAACCCUAUAAGCUAGGUUUGAGAGAGAUAGGUUAGGGUUAUCCUCAACAGUGGAUGAAACAUCAAAUUAAUGAAGUUGCAGAGAUAAAUCGAAGAAGAAGAGCGUCAGAACAACAGUUAUGGUACUUGUGGUGCUGCUGUACAAACCAAAGGAAAAGGAGAAAGAGGGUCACUACAAUCCGUGGUACCUGCAAUACUGCUGCGGAAGCAAGGAAAAGGAGCAGAACACAUUUAUCUGUCGUGUGUACACCUGAUCCUGUAUCGGCGGUAUUUCUCUUGAACAUUGAUUGUGAAUGCUGGUGCUGUCAUAGCAAAAUACCAUGUUUGCUUGAUCUGAAAUAGUUGCUUGAUCACCCAACCCAUGCAAUAUCUGGAAUUUGUGACACUUAGAGUAAAAUUUUUGCUAGCUGAAAUUCUGUUUCACUGCACUAAAUUUGCGUCUGUUUGAAUCUUUGAAUCCUUGAAUCUGAUUAUCAUUUCCAUAAAUCCUUGAUCUCCUGAUUUACGCAGUGUUGAUUACCAGAUCAGUACAACAUCUUGGUCUUGUAUUAAGUCAGUGUGCAUAAUUCCUAGGAUUAGCUAUUGAUUCUCGCAAGCACUGCCUCCCUGAAUUGUUGUAUUGCUUGAUUAUCUAAUUGCUGACAUGUGAAUGGUAUGUCUGUAUGUUGAGCUGUGAUCGUUUCUUUUCAAACUGGUUGUCUAGUUAGUCUGUAUUAAUACUGCCCAUCUUAAAUCCCAUCUUCAGUUGUCAACACAUCUGUCCAAGUUUAGACAAUGAGUAGUGCUCUCCAUGAGAACAUGUACCCCAUAAGAACAAGAUUGUUAACAUGUAUCGUCCUACCCCAGACUGAUGGCCCAUUUGAAUUGAGUGCAAGAAUGAUACAAAUUCUUCUGAUUUAUCGAGGGAUUGAUUCUGAAAACCCUUAUCAUCAUGUAUGAGAGUUUGAACAAAUUUGUCGGAUCAUGCAACCUGACCAUUUGUGCGAAGACUCUCUGAAAUUGCGUUCGUUCACAUUUUCUUUGAAGGAAAGAGACAAAUCAUGGUUUUACGGUUUGAGACCACAAUCCAUCACCAGUUGGGACCAACUUACAAAUCAAUUUUUCAAAAUAUUCUUUCCACAUUGUAGGACCAUUGCUAUUCGUCAAAAUAUUAACUGUUUUUUCAGAUAGAUGGGGAGAUUGUUUUUCAUUAUUUUGAACGGUUUAACGAUUUGUUGAUUGAGUGUCCGCACCAUGGAUUUGAGAAGUGGAUACUGGUCGUUAUCCUCUAUGAGGGACUAUACUUUAAAUCUCGAGCCAUGGUUGAGUCUAUGUGUAAUGGUGAAUUUCUUGAUAAAACUGUAAAUGAUGCAUGGUCGUUUUUAGCUGAGAUUGCAGAGAAAACCUGUCAAUGGGAAUCCAUUAGGGAAACUGAGACAGUAUCACAUGAUAUUGGUGACCCGCAUGAGUUAGAAUAUGAUUCCAACUCUAAUAGAAGCAUGAACUGCAUGACUAGGAGAGGCGAAACCUAGAAAGUUGUAGAAAUACAAAUUUUAUUAUGCCUAAUUCCUAUGGAAAUCUGAACUCCAUGUUUGUAUGUCGUAUGAUAGCUCAGACCAGUUGAUUGAAAAUUGUCCUAGAUUGCAAAAUCCCUGUUACAAUGAUGAUGAUGAUGAUGAAUCAAACUUUGAAAAUGGUGUGUCCAGUCCCACUCAUGCAAUUGAUGUUGAAUAUGAACCUAACUUAUUCAACGAGUGGACUGAGGAUACCGCAACUGUUAACAGGGAAGAGUAUGCAUAUUACUCUGAUGAUGAUAUGAUGUUAGAAGAGCUAGUUCUUCUUGAAGAUCCAAUUUCAGAGUCAUGUGACUCGGAAAUGCUAGACCACGGUGUAGAGACCUACAUUGAUAAUGUUCCUUCUAAUGUUGAAUUUCAUCACAAUCCGGAUAAUUUUGGUGCUGAUACAGAAUUUGUGCACUUGUCUUGUGAAGGAGAGCAUGACACACAACUUGUGUCUGACUUAGGGAAGGCUGAUUUGUCUAAUGACACUAUUGGUCUCAUGCAUGAAAAUAUAUUUGACGUGUCUAUUGCCCUGCCUAGGUCACAACAUGAUGUUUCUUUGGAUUUGUCUAUGCAUGAGAAUAAAUCUUUUGAUGAUGAUUCUGAAUUGGGGUUUGUUAAUUUGUCCAAUAACUGUGAGCUUGAUAUUGCAUUAAUUGUUUCUGACUGGGAAAAUACUAGGCUGCAUACUGAAACUUUUGACAUUAAAAAUGAAUGCAACUUAGACGUGUCUAGCUCCCUGCCUAAGUCACAAACUAAUGGUCUUGCUUAUGACAUGGAGAUUGUUCCCAUAUAAUAUGCUAAACCCAUGUUGUUGAGAGUUCCCAACAUAGGGCUAGAGUUAUGUGCAUCUCAAAUUCUUUUGGAAAUUUUGUCCACUAAGUAUCCUGUCAUUGAGAGGCUACAUAUGGAAUCCCCUCCUGUUUCUUUGCACAUCCCUGAACAUGUCAAUUUAGACUUUGGAAUUAUGCAGGAAGUACCUCAAGAUCUGAUAGUUGUUGAUAAGUGUCAUAUCUUUGUAAAAUUCAGGUUUGGGGGUAACUCAUGUUUUGCAGUCUCACUUGCAUUUCUGUCCUAUUAUAAUUGUGUGAGGAUGUUAAAAUUUCUACACUCUAUCUUUUGGGUUGAUCCUCAACUCUUUCGAUUACUGGUAUAUGGUGAAUCAUCAUUGUAUAAUCCAGUAGGUAAUGUUAUAUUUUCUAUCUUGAGUCAGUUGAGUAUUCUUUUAUCUUGUUUAUAUUGUGCUAAUCGAAUAUGAUCUCAGCUGAAAAUGUUUGAUUCUAGCCUUGAAUGAUGAAGCUCUAAUCUUGCUUUUGCCGACAUACUGGUAAUCUCUUCCCUUUUCUCUAAUCAACAUGGUUCUCCUGGUAUGCUGCUAUUUAAUUUUUAUCAUCUUUUGAAACAUUGAGGACAAUGUUAGAUUUAGGUGUGGGGGAGUAUUUUGCAUAUAGAGUUUCUAGUCUCUUAUGUAAAAAAAUAAAAAUAAAAAAAUAAAAUAAAAAUAAACAAAAAUAUUUGUAUAAAACCUCAAACUUUUAGAGAUCUUAGAGUCACUAGCAUGCUUCUAUCUAUGUUUACAUAGAGAGUCUAACCGAAAUAACUGAACUUGGAAGUACUGGAGAACACAAUCGGGUUUCUUAGUUGCUAGAGCGUUAAAGUUGGAUUUAACCAUGCCGGUGGGCGUUUUAGGUGCUGCAAAGAUAUUUGGUAAUAGUGUUGUGAUCACCUUUAGUGAAGACUACCUAAUUUUACAUCAAGCGAGUCACCGACCUUCAAUUUUUUGUGACUAUCUAAAAAAUCCUUUUAGAGUGUGUGUCACCGUACGUAAAUUCCGGGUAGGAAUGGUGAGCUACCCAACUUCCCACCACUUUCAGCGUUAUUUUUGAUCUCUUGAUUGCUAAUUUUGUCAAUCAUGAGGAUGACGUCUAAAGAUGAAAACUCCUUCUUGUAGUUUGAUUUGCAGUUAGCACCAUUCUCUCUCACUCGACAACAUCAACAGAUCCAUGGAAAUACAUCAUCAUCGACAAGCAGCGCGACGUCAAAUUCUAUGAAGAAAGUUGAAAUAGUCCAAGGUUUACACACAACAAUACAAAGAAUAGAAAAAGUAUUAUACAAAAGUGAAGAUACAGUACAAAAAAGCAGAAUUUUAUACACAAGUAAAGACUUAUCUUACAAAGAGCAAAGAAAACAAAAAAAGAUGAGAAUUAGUGAAGUUUAUAAAAUCAAGACAAUACAAGUUAUGAAGAAUCAAGUUAUAAAGUCCUUCUUCCAUGGCAUUAGUAGUUUCAUUAUUUAUUUUCAAUUUGUCAUUUUCAUGUAAUAAAAAAAAAAGUUUGUUUUAAAUUUUGUUUAUAUAACACCAUGGUAAAGACGAAUUAUUUAAGAUGAAAAUUCAAGCAACAAGGAAACUGAAGAGAAAAAUCAAGAAUUGUCAAAGUUCUACGAAGUUCAGAAGAUCAUCAUUGACAGUUGAAGACCGAAGACGUUUCUAUGGAUGCUGUGAGAGUGGUGUUGAUUGCCGAUCGGAUGUGAAGAAACUCUAUGUCCUGAUAGCUCAUUGGAUGCUUGGGACUCUAUUACGCUCUGAAGUUGGAGAAGGUUUUGUGGGUACACCUUUGGUAGGCCCUCACGAGACUACAACUCGUCCAACUAGGGACACCUACGGGUUUAAAGGCUUAGUGCAUACGCUAAAUGCAUUCGAGAGACCAGCGACAAUGGUAGUAAAUAAAACUUGGAUGUUUUAAGAAGCAAAAGGAGCAGAAAAUUUGGUGACCAGAGGCGCGAAGAAAGAGUUCCGCUAAAAUGCAGUGAGAGAAGAGCGAAAGAAGAACGCGUAAAGAGCUUCCGCAAUCCGCUUGCACUCGCUCCGCAAACCGUUUGUAAAGCCUAAACGAGUCACGGGCUUGGUAGAGAACUCAAAACCCAAACCCAUGACCCAAAUCCGUCUCCACACCUGAAACGUCGGAUUUGAUACAGCUGCUUAACAUCCCACUCGAGAUAUCAAGUUUUGAUACAACUGCCUAACACCCUAGUCUCAUAUCUCUUUUCCCUAUCGAGCAGAACCUUCAUUUCUCAUUACUCCGUCUGCAGAACCACCAGUACCGCCUCCUUCAUCCCAAUUUCUUCCCCUUAAUCGUACCCAUCAUCUCUGCACACAGCCACCUUAAUUAACAUCAAUUGAAUCUCUAAUCUCUAUCUCUCUCACCCUUAUCUUCUUUCUUAUCAAGAAUAGUAACCCUAGAAGCUAGGUUUGAGAGAGAUAGGUUAGGGUUAUCCUCAACAGUGGAUGAAACAUCAAAUUAAUGAAGUUUUUGAGAUAAAUUGAAGAAGAAGAGCGUCAGAACAACAAUUAUGGUGAGUUGGGUCUCCAUUAAUUAUCAAAUUGAAUUCGAAUUGGGUGAAAAUUAUGUAUAAAUAGAGAAGGCAGUGUGAUGAAAAACUCAUGCCCGGGUUAGCCGGUGCACCAAGCUGUAGUUUAUAUUUGUUUUCGGUAUUUUCAUCAUGUUCUAAUUCAAUAACUAGGGUUUAUAUGAAUCCCUUCAUUGUAUGCUAAGAUAGUCAGUUUUCA